rnacentral:rRNA from 1 species
CUGGCUCAGGAUGAACGCUAGCGGCAGGCUUAACACAUGCAAGUCGAGGGGCAGCGCUGAGUAGCAAUACUCUGGCGGCGACCGGCGAAAGGGUGAGUAACGCGUGAGCAACAUGCCCGAUAGUGGAGGAUAGUCGAUGGAAACGUCGUGUAAUACUCCGUAACAUACGGGACCGCAUGAUUCUGUAUUAAUAGAUUUAUGCUAUCGGAUUGGCUCGCGUACCAUUAGCUAGUUGGCGGGGUAACGGCCCACCAAGGCGACGAUGGUUAGGGGUUCUGAGAGGAAGGUCCCCCACAUUGGAACUGAGACACGGUCCAGACUCCUACGGGAGGCAGCAGUGAGGAAUAUUGGACAAUGGCCGGAAGGCUGAUCCAGCCAUGCCGCGUGCCGGGAAGACGGCCCUAUGGGUUGUAAACCGCUUUUGUUGGGGAGCAAUAAGGUCCACGUGUGGAUUGAUGAGAGUACCCAGCGAAUAAGCAUCGGCUAACUCCGUGCCAGCCGCAGC